rnacentral:rRNA from 1 species
AGCUCCAAGAGCGUAUAUUAAAGUUGUUGCAGUUAAAAAGCUCGUAGUUGGAUUUCUGGUACAGCGCGCCUGGCCCGCUUUUGUGAGUGCCGGUGCACGUUGGCCAUCCUUCUAGAAAACGUUUCUACCCGGGCAACUGGGCUGGACUCGCGAUCUAGAUCUUUUACUUUGAAAAAAUUAGAGUGUUUAAAGCAGGCUUUUGCUGUGAAUACAUUAGCAUGGAAUAAUAAUCUAGGACUUCGGUUCUAUUUUGUUGGUUUCUAGUACUGAAGUAAUGAUUGAUAGGGAUAGUUGGGGGUGCUAGUAUUGGCCGGCCAGAGGUGAAAUUCUUGGAUUCGGUCAAGACUAACUUAUGCGAAAGCAUUCACCAAGGAUGUCUUCUUUAAUCAAGAACGAAAGU